AAAGAGAGGAGUUAUUACCGGGACUCUACAGCGGGUCGUUGGCUGGAACUGUAUCGUAGAGUAAGUCCAGCCUCUGGUCACCGGCGAGGGGAGUGACCCUGGCGUCCUAUCAUGAAGGCUGGCUGCCUUAUCGGGUUUUAGGGGAUGCAGCAGGGAACGGGAGUAGAGUUGAGGGGACUGGGUAGGUUAAGUACCACCAGCCAGCUGGACCUCAUGUUUGCUUCGCUGUCCUCGUUUUCUCCACAUCUUUUGAAAACUGAGGGUCUUGCUAAACUGCUGAGGCUGGCCUUGAACUUGCAAUCCUUCUGCCUUACUCUCCUGAGCCACUGGGAUUACAGGCAUACACCAUUUAAAUCCAGCUCCCACUUAAGUAUUCCAAAGUAGAUUUACCAGCAGGUUGCAAGUGUACAUGGCCAUGAGAAGAUGGAAUGAUACUUAAACAAAAGUUCUUUUCUUCUUCCUUUGUGUGUGUGUGUGUGGGGGGGUGGUUAUUGGAACCCAGGGCCUUGGAUAUGAUAGGCAAAUGCUCUACCACUGAGCCACAUACUUAGCCCUUAAACAAGUGAUCUGUAUGCUGAAUAAUUGUGAUAAUUGAAAUUGUUCAUAUUCCUUGUUUAAGCGGUUUUUAAAAGUCAAAGAUAAUUUUAGACAGUUUUUUUCUUGAUCAAAUAAAAUUUUAUUAAAACCCCAUAGGUGUCAAGUUUUUAUCAUUUUAUCCAUUCAUCCAUGUUCUUAUUACAUGUGAUGUACUCUAUACAUAAAGCCUAUUAGAACUCUGAAUUAAAAUUUGCCUAAUAUAUGAUAUCAUAUUUCCUGUUUGGUUGUUUCUAUUUUAGUAGCUGAGAACAUCUUUAAAUAUACUUAUGUGUAUUUUAAUUGUUUAUAACUUGAACCAUUUCUGAGCUUAUAUCUGCUGCACCUUUCUUAUUUCAGAGUAGGUGUUAGAGCUUGGUAGGGCAGGUGUUUAUCUACGAAGAACUGUUGUCACGGUAAGUGGUUAAUUCAGGAAUCUGAGCUGUUCUUUAUACCAGUAGGCAAAGUUCAGUAGGAGGUGAGAGGUGUUUGGUGUGUCCAGUUUUGAGUGUGGUGGCAAGUGUGAACAUUUCAAAGUGAAAAGUUUUUUUCAUUUACAGAUCCUUAUGUGAUGAGAGUUAGGCAUAUCUUGUGUUGUUUAGAGAGCAUCUGGAGUUGUUACUUUGCAAUUUGACUCAAGCUUUGAAAUGCUGUGUGUGCAGAGUUUAAGUGGCAUCUAGAAACUGGAACUGAAGAACAAUGUACUGACAGAGCACCAAGGUUACUGAAUGGCACCAGGACCAUGAGACACGAUGCCCUGGAGCCACUGGCUGCACACCACUCUUCUCACCAGUACUCAGCUCUGCCCUGUGGUGGGUGGAUUUCUUUAAAAAAUUGUAUAUUUGCUCUGUGCCACAUAUUGUUAAACACUCUCGGUUUGUUGUUAAGUCACCCAGUCCUAUGAGACAAGUAUUGUUUUUCCCUUUGAAGGGAAACAGAAGGUCUGGAUAAGGUGACUUUUUUCCAGGUCAUAAGGCGAAGUAGCAACAAAGUAGCAAUCAAACCCAGGUUCCUGUUUUCAAAUCUGGCUCUUUAUAUUACAAGACAAUUCCUAGAAUCAGUUGCAACUAAUGUUUUCUAAUUUUUUUCCCAUCUAUCCCCUCAGUUCUCCACUUAGGCACAU